CCGCGGUAAUACGAAGGGACCUAGCGUAGUUCGGAAUUACUGGGCUUAAAGAGUUCGUAGGUGGUUGAAAAAGUUGGUGGUGAAAUCCCAGAGCUUAACUCUGGAACUGCCAUCAAAACUUUUCAGCUAGAGUUUGAUAGAGGAAAGCAGAAUUUCUAGUGUAGAGGUGAAAUUCGUAGAUAUUAGAAAGAAUACCAAUUGCGAAGGCAGCUUUCUGGAUCAUUACUGACACUGAGGAACGAAAGCAUGGGUAGCGAAGAGGAUUAGAUACCCUCGUAGUCCAUGCCGUAAACGAUGUGUGUUAGACGUUGGAAAUUUAUUUUCAGUGUCGCAGCGAAAGCGAUAAACACACCGCCUGGGGAGUACGACCGCAAGGUUAAAACUCAAAUGAAUUGACGGGGACCCGCACAAGUAGUGGAGCAUGUGGUUUAAUUCGAAGAUACGCGCAGAACCUUACCAACACUUGACAUGUUCGUCGCGACUCUAAGAGAUUAGAGUUUUCGGUUCGGCCGGACGAAACACAGGUGCUGCAUGGCUGUCGUCAGCUCGUGUCGUGAGAUGUUGGGUUAAGUCCCGCAACGAGCGCAACCCUCACUUUUAGUUGCCAUCAUUAAGUUGGGCACUCUGAAAGAACUGCCAGUGAUAAGCUGGAGGAAGGUGGGGAUGACGUCAAGUCCUCAUGGCCCUUACGUGUUGGGCUACACACGUGCUACAAUGGUAUCUACAACAGGAAGCAAGACUGCGAGGUCAAGCAAAUCCUCAAAAGAUACCUCAGUUCGGAUUGCACUCUGCAACUCGAGUGCAUGAAGCUGGAAUUACUAGUAAUCGUGGAUCAGCGUGCCACGGUGAAUGCGUUCCCGGGUCUUGUACACACCGCCCGUCACACCAUGGGAGUUGGUUCUACCUUAAGGCAAGGUUUCAAACCCUUGACCACGGUAUAGUCAGCGACUGGGGUGAAGUCGUAACAAGGUAACC
rnacentral:rRNA from 1 species